UGGGGAAUAUUGGACAAUGGGCGAAAGCCUGAUCCAGCCAUGCCGCGUGUGUGAAGAAGGUCUUCGGAUUGUAAAGCACUUUAAGUUGGGAGGAAGGGCAGUAAGCGAAUACCUUGCUGUUUUGACGUUACCGACAGAAUAAGCACCGGCUAACUCUGUGCCAGCAGCCGCGGUAAUACAGAGGGUGCAAGCGUUAAUCGGAAUUACUGGGCGUAAAGCGCGCGUAGGUGGUUCGUUAAGUUGAAUGUGAAAGCCCCGGGCUCAACCUGGGAACUGCAUCCAAAACUGGCGAGCUGGAGUAGGGCAGAGGGUGGUGGAAUAUCCUGUGUAGCGGUGAAAUGCGUGGAUAUAGAAAGGAACACCAGUGGCGAAGGCGACCACCUGGGCUCAUACUGACACUGAGGUGCGAAAGAGUGGUGAGCAAACAGG
rnacentral:rRNA from 1 species